UAGAACUUCACGCUACUAAGCCGCAGUACUGUGCGAUUGAGAAAGAGAGAGUGAGUGAGGGCCAGAGAUGCGGGAGAAUCGAGAUGCUCCGUCGCCAUUGCCGAGAACUCUCAUUUCUCCGUCGUGGCAGGAGGCAGCAGACAACAUUGCCUACGAUUCGGCCACUUUCCCUCCUCCCAUUACCGUUAUUUGUGGUCCUGCUCACAGCGGCAAGGCCACCUUCUCACGCCUUCUUCUAAACACUCUAUUAGAGAGGUAUAAGAGAGUGGCUUAUUUGGAUUCCAACGUCGGCCAGCCGGAGUUCACGGUUACAGGUUGCGUGGCUCUUCACAUAAUCGACAAGCAGACGCCUGACUUGACGAUUCUAUACCUAAAGAAUCCGGAUAGAUGUGUCUUCUUUGGUCAUGUGUCUGCUAAAAAAGAAUCAAACAGUUAUUUUUCUAGCAUUAUUUUUUUAUAUGAUUACUUCCGCCGAGGGUUCUAUCAAGUGGAUGAGACUGAUAAUCCUUGCAAGAUAUUGUUGCCACUUAUUAUCAACACUUACGGAUGGGUGAAAGGUACUGGUUAUGAUGUGCUAGUGGCAAUGCUUCGGCAUACUUCUCCCACUCAUGUUGCCAAAGUUUGCAGCUCCUCAGAAAGUAAAAACCUCCCAAAUGGGUUGUUCUGGCUGGAAAACCCCCAAAGAAAACCUGUAAAUUUGGUUCAUAUUUGUUAUGGAAAUGAGACUUCAUAUCUACCGAAAAUUAUGAAAAAGGAGGCAUGCAUGUUGCGAGAUAUUAGAAUUAUUGCAUACUUUAGGCAGUGCUUGCCUAGAGAGAUGAACUUUCUAAAUCACAAGGAAUUUUGUGACCAACUUGCUUCCGUACCUCUUAAAGAAAUCCCUCUUUCAAGAGUCCAAGUUAAGCAUAACUGUUGUCAGGUGGUAAGCAGUGUAGUAUCUCAAGGUCUAAAUGCUUCAAUUGUUGGUCUCGCCGUCAGGUCUUCAGCAAUAGCUGAAAACAACACCCCAUGGUGUAUUGGACUUGGGAUUGUCAGAGCCGUAGAUUCAUCAAAAGACCAGCUUUAUCUUCUUACGCCUGUUGCUCCAUCCACCCUGAAAAAGGUUGAACUCAUCAUACAAAGCACUAUUGAUAUCCCGAUUUGUCUGCAGCAGAUUUUUGUUUAAUAGCUCAAAUCCAAGACCCCAAAUGCUGACCUGUUCUUAUUUUCUCCUGCAUUUUCCCAUGGAUUUUGCUCUGUAAGCUUCUCAACUCACUGGGAUUUGGUCGAGCUUGGCUUGAUAAGUUUUAGUCGAAUGUUGCUCGAGAGAUCUAGAUAGAGAUCGAUGCUAAGAAGUUUGAGUGUAUGACUAGGGCCAUGCAAAUGGAGACUAGCUGUUUUUGAGCUUCCAUCAUUGAUUGACAUGUGUACCAAAAUAUUAGAAUGUUGAUUAAUUUCAUCCCUUGGUGAUAGAUUUUUUGAUGUAGUCGCAAUUUCAACUUGUAAAAUACUUUACCAAUUAAGCUAGCAAGCUUAAAAUGAA